CGUUAUUGUUCUUCUUGGUCACGCUGGUGCCAUUGAUUGAAUUCGUUUAACAAUUCAUUGAUUCGAUCUAAAAAUGAAUCAUCGAUAUUAGCAGGCGUCUAACUAUUCCCAAAUCCCUUGAGUGUUAGUGUUUUGUUGUGUUCCCAAUCUAAAAUCCUCGAAGAUUGUCCAUCCUUCAUGCUCACCUGCACUGUCGUGCUCAUCCUUACACUGUUGCUGUUGGGACUCGCUAUGUGAAUAAUAUGGCUGGGAUAGGGUGGCCUCAGAAUCAUCAUGUCUCUCAUUUUCUCUUUGAAUAAUAUGGAUUAAAAAAAAA
rnacentral:lncRNA from 1 species